GACGAACGCUGGCGGCGUGCUUAACACAUGCAAGUCGAACGGAAAGGCCCUGCUUUUGUGGGGUGCUCGAGUGGCGAACGGGUGAGUAACACGUGAGUAACCUGCCCUUGACUUUGGGAUAACUUCAGGAAACUGGGGCUAAUACCGGAUAGGAGCUCCUGCUGCAUGGUGGGGGUUGGAAAUUUUCGGCGGUUGGGGAUGGACUCGCGGCUUAUCAGCUUGUUGGUGGGGUAGUUGCUUACCAAGGCUUUGACGGGUAGCCGGCCUGAGAGGGUGACCGGCCACAUUGGGCCUGAGAUACGGCCCAGACUCCUACGGGAGGCAGCAGUGGGGAAUAUUGCACAAUGGGCGGAAGCCUGAUGCAGAAACGCCGCGUGCGGGAUGACGGCCUGCGGGUUGUAAACCGCUGUCGCCUGUGACGAAGCGUGAGUGACGGUAAUGGGUAAAGAAGCACCGGCUAACUACGUG
rnacentral:rRNA from 1 species